GUGGGCCAUGGAGUACAACCCAAACAUAUAUUUAUUGUAUGACAAGACUCUGGAACAACUUCCCGAUAAGUUAAAUAUUACGCAGCUAAAGCAAUACGGGAAAUUUGAAAGGAGAAUAUUGAGAACUGGUGCAACAAAACAGCACGACGCACUUGCCAUUUUCCUAGUUGCAAGUGUUCUUGAAACGAAGAAAAAACAGCUUAUGAAAGAGGCGAAAGGCCUU
rnacentral:misc_RNA from 1 species